rnacentral:lncRNA from 1 species
UUAUUUAAUUUUAGAGUUUUUUUUUGUCUAAAUCCUAUUUGAGUUGAGAGGUGUAUAAUUUAGAUCAUAUUUCUUCUCUUAGGUAGUGGUUUUUAAAUGUUGGUUACUAUUAUGCUAACGUUAUCUUUUUAUUAAAAAAUGGGUGCAAUUUUGAGCUUUAAUUUCCUUCUGCUCUAUUUUUACUUCUUUUUGCUUCUUCUUUUUGUUUUUUUUCCUUUCUUAAUUCUUUUACCCCGUUCUGCCCGUGUCUAUUCUGAUUUAUCAAGAAUUUUGCAGAUGGCUUUUCCAGUGGUCGGAGCAUUACUAUGUCUUUGCUCCCAUUUGCCUCGAGAGUCGUUCCACUAAAUACCUCAAUGUAAGUAACUAGAUAAGUAUUCCAUAAAAAGAGUUGGGCUUCAAGAAAAUAUCACCGCCAAGCAAAAAAGAUUGAGUUACAUCCUCAGUUAUUAUAACGAUGUGUUCGCUGGUGUUUAAAAAAGGGUAAAACUUCUGCUGCCAUGAUUACUACUCACCUUGACUAUGUGUAAAUCUUGAUUUGUUAUGCCAUUUUGCUGGAAUUAUCUUUAUCGUGCUAUUUUUUUAAAUGAUACUUCGUUUUAGGUUUUGGUUUAAUUUUCAACGAUUGCAAAGUUGAAUAUUUGAUCAAUUUGCUACGUGAUUUAAAUAAAUUUUUCUUUUCUGUUUCAUGAAGCUAUACGUCAGUUUCAGUUUGUUCCUUUUUUGAUUUUAGAUAUAAAGCUUUCUUGAAAUGUGUGGGUCUAUAUGGGCAAUAUUUAUAUAUCGAUCUAGAUUAAAGUACACGUCAAAUAAGCUUUACGCAUAUUUAACAAGAGAAUAAAGAUAGACAGGGUAAAAAGUAAUGGAGUGGUGAAACAAAAUAUUCAUUUUCACUAUCAAGUCUUUGCAAUGUGAACUUGCAAUGCAGACUUUAAGCCAUUAAUGUGAACUUGGCAAUGCAGACUCACUGCAAGUAGGUUGUUUUGUAAGCUUAGAGCUUCUGUUUCAAAUUCUGAUAACAAGCCAAUUACUAUACCCACUCUAAAAAAAAGAGUCAUCUGAGAUGAUCUAUACUGAUAUUUCCCGUUUUGGCUCGGGAAUGCAAGUUCGAAUGUGUCAACCGCAGCUUAUAUCUUAGAAUUGUCUUGUUAUUUUUAUUGUCAAUGCAGCUUCUCCGUACCAACUUAUGGAUAGUCCUCAUCUCUGGCAAGAAUUGAGCAAAAUUUUUACUUUGCUUAUGGAUCUACCAAAUUCUUCAUGGCUAUUACAUAUUCGAAUUUUCUUAAAAAUUUUCUACGAUGAACUUUAAUUUUGAUCAAUGUUGGAAAUAACAAGAUCCACACAUUUCAGAAAAGUAUUAUACUUAGCAUCAGAAUGGAGAAGAAAGAGACAACGAAGUAAAAGGAGCGGUAGAAGAAAGGGGAAAUGGAAUUACAACAAACACAACUGAAAUAACCAAAUGAUUGGAAAUCAGCUUGAAAACCACCAAAACAUUUUCUCUUCUGAAGGAAUACCUAAUCAUAAUUAGCCGCUUUAAGUCUUUAUUCUAUUUCAUAGCAUUUAAUAUCACAACAUUCUAUAGAUAAUUCUUUCACUUGAACUUCAUAGUAAGCUUGCAGCCUUGCACCUAACAUUUGUUAGACAACUCAAGGCAUUUGAAUUUACACUUCGAGUGCAAAUCUCCUUUAGAGUUAUUAAUUGAUAAUUUUACUAUUCCAAAAGAGUACCGUAUGGACUGUCUGCUGUCUUCUAAAUUUUAUUCUUCUAAAUAUUGCAUAAUUUUAAAAUUAUGGAAUUGAAUUAUUUUUUGAAUUUGGUGGACUAUUGUAAAGUAUCAUCAUUCAAGAAAAUCCCUUUUUGUUGAUGAGUCUUGCUUCCGUGAUCCCUCUCAAUUUUUGCAGGAGGAGGAUGAAAGAAUAAAAAAGGAUGACAAGAACAAUUUGUGCAAUAAUGAAGAGGGCAUCGAUUUGGGGGGGG